rnacentral:rRNA from 1 species
UACGGAGGGUGCAAGCGUUAUCCGGAAUCACUGGGCGUAAAGGGCGCGUAGGUGGUCUGUUAAGUCUGGCGUUAAAGCCUGGGGCUCAACCCCAGAUCAGCGUUGGAUACUGGCAGGCUAGACGGUUGGAGAGGCGAGUGGAAUUACCAGUGUAGCGGUGGAAUGCGUAGAUACUGGUAGGAACACCCAUUGCGAAGGCAGCUCGCUGGACAACACGUGACGCUGAGGCGCGAAAGUGUGGGGAGCAAACCGGAUUAGAUACCCGCGUA